UGGUGAAGCUCAUGAAGAUUAUGGGA
rnacentral:piRNA from 1 species